UUCCAUUGCCUGUAAAAUACCCAAAUCAGAAUUAAAAGGACAGAAAGAGUCUUCCAAAUUCAUACAUAUAAUAUACCCAACCUUCAACAUGGAUGAAGAAUUUGAUACAAGAAAAUCUAUAUGGCCAGAGCUUGUUGGCGUAGACUUUUCUGCUGCUGCUAGGAUAAUAGAAACAGAGAAUCCCAAUGUGAAGGCUACCAAGAUUCUAAUCGGUAGUCCCGUGAUUCUGAAUUAUGAUCCUACCCGAGUUUGGGUUAUUUGCAAUACAGAAGAUAAGGUUGUUGACAUACCCCGCGUCGGUUAACGAUUGGACGAUGUGUAUAAGGUGAAUCAUAUGUAUAAUGUUUAUGCAUAUGUCUAAGUGAAUUAUAUGCUUAAUCAUGUCAUUCCAUCAUGGUACUAAUAAGUGGAAUUUCUACCAUUUCAACUCUUGUUUUGAGUGUGUUUAUUUGUAAUAAAUUGUUCCAAUAAACAUCAACAGAAUUUAAAUAUUGUUCAUGCAAGUUUUAUAAUCUUAAUGUAAAUUGUGGGCAUCUCAUUAUGUUCUAUUGGUACCCACAAACAGAAGUUAAAUCCCAAAGGAUUCUCUCUUA